rnacentral:rRNA from 1 species
CACGUAGGGCGCAAGCGUUGUCCGGAAUCAUUGGGCGUAAAGAGCGUGUAGGCGGCCCGGUAAGUCCGCUGUGAAAGUCGGGGGCUCAACCCUCGAAUGCCGGUGGAUACUGUCGGGCUAGAGUGCGGAAGAGGCGAGUGGAAUUCCUGGUGUAGCGGUGAAAUGCGCAGAUAUCAGGAGGAACACCAAUUGCGAAGGCAGCUCGCUGGGACGUAACUGACGCUGAGACGCGAAAGCGUGGGGAGCAAACAGG